UGGCGGCAGUAGCGCGGUGGUCCCACCUGACCCCAUGCCGAACUCAGAAGUGAAACGCCGUAGCGCCGAUGGUAGUGUGGGGCGGUCUGAUAACAGAAUUUGCCUGGCGGCAC
rnacentral:rRNA from 1 species